UACGUAGGGUGCGGGCGUUAAUCGGAAUUACUGGGCGUAAAGUGUGCGCAGGCGGCCGCGCAAGUCGAGUGUGAAAUCCCCGAGCUUAACUUGGGAAUUGCGCUCGAAACUACGUGGCUGGAGUGUGGCAGAGGAAGGUGGAAUUCCACGUGUAGCGGUGAAAUGCGUAGAGAUGUGGAGGAACACCGAUGGCGAAGGCAGCCUUCUGGGCCAACACUGACGCUCAUGCACGAAAGCGUGGGGAGCAAACAGG
rnacentral:rRNA from 1 species